rnacentral:rRNA from 1 species
UACGGGGGGAGCAAGCGUUGUUCGGAUUUACUGGGCGUAAAGGGCGCGUAGGCGGUCAGCACAAGUCAGUUGUGAAAUCUCCGGGCUUAACCCGGAAAGGUCAACUGAUACUGUGCGACUAGAGUGCGGAAGGGGCAACUGGAAUUCCUGGUGUAGCGGUGAAAUGCGCAGAUAUCAGGAGGAACACCGGUGGCGAAGGCGGGUCUCUGGGCCGAUACUGACGCUGAGGAGCGAAAGCGUGGGGAGCAAACAGG